GUAAAAGUCAUGACGAUGCAAAGUAGUUGUUAUUAUCUUUAUAAGAGAGGAAUUGUACUAGCUGAAACCAAUUCUAAAGUAAUCAUAGCAAACGAAAUUUCACAUCCGAACUGUUGCUUUGAACGUUUACAGUAGAAGCCAACCGCCAAAAGCCCGUUAAGCUAGGAGAAUUCACAGACAAAAUUGUGAACUAAAUUUAGGUGGUACCACGGGUAAAACUCGUCCUUGUU
rnacentral:ncRNA from 1 species